rnacentral:lncRNA from 1 species
CUAGCACACUGUGUAACUAAUAAUAUUCAGUAUGGUGAUGCAGCAUCUUACAUCCUCUAACUUGGAAACUAAAUGAACAUUGAACAUUCAUAUGUGUAUAUCAGUGCCUUGUACUUGUAUGAUAUUUGUCUUUAUUUAUUCAUUAAAAUAUAAAUCUCUAAUAAGACUUUAUUUACAAAAUAUAACACAUGAGUAAAAAAAAACACUUUCAGAAAAAAAAGAGUAACUAUAAAAAGUGCGACCCCAAAAAUUAAAAAAAAUAUCUUUCCUUUAAAAAGUAUUUCAUGGUAGAAUUUGACAUCAAAAUGGGUUAAAAUAACAAAUAUCAACUUAUUGCAAUACUAACAAAACUUAACUUAAUUACAUUGUUUACAGAAGCUCCCAUUUCACCUUAGUUAAUUCUUGUGUACCUAAAAAUUUGUACUAAGGCAAACUGGG